rnacentral:lncRNA from 1 species
CACAAUGAACAAGUUUACCACAGAACUUCACACCUUGUAAUCGAAAAAAGUUUUUGAAAACACCAUCCCUUAACUUCUCCCAUUGCUUGUUCGACAAGAGACCUUUUAUUGUUUUCUUAUACUGAAAAUAUCCUUCUCAAUAUCUCAUCAAAUUAUGCCAAACAUCAAACUUGAAAAACAUGAUCUCCUUCCAUUAGCACACUACAAAGGAGGAAAAAGAACAUAACAAAUUAGGACUAUUUUCCUGAAAUGUCCUUAUUAUUUAAACUAAAAAACUAAAAUC